AUCUAUAUAAUUUAUAAAAAUAUUUUACUUUCACUAAAAAAAAAGACUAAAAUCUUAUAGAUU
rnacentral:tRNA from 1 species